rnacentral:tRNA from 1 species
GGGGUUGUGGCUCAGUGGUAGAGCGCUUGCCUAGCUUGUGCAAAGCCCUGGGUUCAAUCCUCAGCACCACA